GGACUACACGGGUAUCUAAUCCUGUUUGCUCCCCACGCUUUCGUGCCUGAGCGUCAAUCUCAGCCCAGGGGGCUGCCUUCGCCAUCGGUGUUCCUCCACAUCUCUACGCAUUUCACUGCUACACGUGGAAUUCCACCCCCCUCUGCCAGAUUCUAGUCCGCCAGUUUCAACCGCAAUUCCCAAGUUAAGCUCGGGGCUUUCACAGCUGACUUAACGAACCGCCUGCGCACGCUUUACGCCCAGUAAUUCCGAUUAACGCUCGCACCCUACGUAUUACCGCGGCUGCUGGCAC
rnacentral:rRNA from 1 species